UGCCCAGCACGCAUGACGCUCUGGGUUUGAUUCCCAGCGUCAGGUAAACAAGGUGUGGUGGUGAGAUGGAGUGAAGAGGCUCAGACGUUCAAAGUCACAGACACACCGGGGACUGCUGAAGUCCAGGGCAGAGUAUGAACAGAGAUGGGUGUUGCAGCCACCUUCUGGAGCUGGAGCCAACGGACACCUUCCCAACAUGGAUGCGGGCCCUGCCCCAGUUCGCAGAGGUCACCUCAGACACUGAAGCUAUCAAGUACUUGCUGUUGAUUUUGCCAUUUGACCUGAUUGCGUUCCUAAGCAUUAACGGAGUGGAUUCACACAAGACAGGCCAUGUGUGCUGAAGGCCCACUCCACAGAGGGCCCUUGAACAAGCCAUCAGAACUGUAUUCUCCAUCACAGAAGGCGACUGACUUCAUAGGGGAGACCGCUGGAUUGACCCUGUGAAUUCCAGACCGUGUCAAAGCCUAAGCUUGGAGAGCCAUCGUGUCUGUUCAUUGUCAUCUCAACACAUUUCCAACUUCUCAAACUCUGGGAUACUCAUUGCCUCUUAUUUCUUUCCACACCCCCUCUCCAGAUGCUGGGAGCCCCACAUGAGAACGGUCCACCACAGAAAUACACAGUAAGAAUGGGAUCUCUGCAAAUUGGAUUCUUUGCUGUGCUCUCCCACAUGCUGCUCUGCUGGGAAAUUAAAUCGUGUUCUUAUUUUUUGAAACAGGGUUUGUUAUAGCCCAGACUGACUAUGUAGCUGAGGGUGACCUGAUUCUGUAUCUCCUGCCACAGUCUCCCGAGGACUGAGGUCACAGGCAAGCACCUUAGGCCUGGUUUUAAGCCUUGAGGUUGAGGCCAGGGUUUCAUGCAUGCUAGGUAAGUGCUCUCCCAACUGAGCUACAUUCACAGCCUCAAACUACAGUUUUGAUUUUCACAAAGUGGUAGAGUGAAAAUCUGCAGGUUCUGUGAGAAUAUGUAGGGCCUGUGUCAGGAAAUGGAGCCAGGCCUGCUGGGUUCAAACUGGGGUUGCCAGAUAAAAUAUAGAGUAGCCUGUGAAAUCUGAUCUAAGGGAAACAAUGCAUAAUUUUUCAGAGUAAGUCUGUCAUAAGCACUUUUAUUAUAUGUUUGCUAAGUCUGGCAACUCUAGUUCAAACAUGCCCUCUCCCAACCAAGGUCCUCAGUAGUCAAGCAACAGAGUCACAGAAAACCCAGCCCAGUUAGACUGCACACAGAGUGGUGCCCAGCAGUGGGCAGUUGGGUCACACAAUGGUUUUUGCUAAGCCACUGUGCUCUGUGAAAUUAUAGUCCUUGGGCAGAGGUGUAAGCCCAUGAGCCCGUCAGUCACCUUCCAAG